ensembl:snRNA U6 U6 spliceosomal RNA
GUGCUCACUUUGGUAACACAUUUACUAAAUCUGAAGCGAUACAGAGAAGAUUAGCACUGCCCUUACAUGAGAAUGACAUGCCAAUUUCUGAAGAAUUCCAUAUUUUA